rnacentral:rRNA from 1 species
UACAGAGGUCUCAAGCGUUGUUCGGAUUCAUUGGGCGUAAAGGGUGCGUAGGCGGCGCGGUAAGUCGGGUGUGAAAUCUCGGGGCUUAACUCCGAAACUGCAUUCGAUACUGCCGUGAUUGAGGACUGGAGAGGAGACUGGAAUUCCCGGUGUAGCGGUGAAAUGCGUAGAGAUCGGGAGGAAGGCCGGUGGCGAAGGCGGCGCUCUGGAACGUUUCUGACGCUGAGGCUCGAAAGCGUGGGGAGCAAACAGG